GCCAGAGGGGCCGAGCGUUGUCCGGAGUCACUGGGCGUAAAGCGCGCGCAGGCGGCAACCUAAGUGUCGUGUGAAAGCCCCCGGCUCAACCGGGGGAGGCCAUGGCAAACUGGGUCGCUCGAGCUGCGGAGAGGCCCCUCGAAUUGCCGGUGUAGCGGUGAAAUGCGUAGAGAUCGGCAGGAAGACCAAGGGGGAAGCCAGGGGGCUGGCCGCAGGCUGACGCUCAGGCGCGACAGCGUGGGGAGCAAACCGG
rnacentral:rRNA from 1 species